GCCAGGCGUGGUGGUGCACGCCUGUAAUCCCAGCUACUCGGGAGGCUGAGACAGAAGAAUUGCUUGAACCCAGGAGAUGGAGGUUGCAGUGAGCUGAGAUUGCACCCCUGCACUCCUGCCUGGGCAACAGAGCAAGACUGUGUCUCAA
rnacentral:SRP_RNA from 1 species